rnacentral:rRNA from 1 species
AUUGAACGCUGGCGGCAGGCCUAACACAUGCAAGUCGAGCGGAUGAAGGGAGCUUGCUCCUGGAUUCAGCGGCGGACGGGUGAGUAAUGCCUAGGAAUCUGCCUGGUAGUGGGGGAUAACGUCCGGACACGGGCGCUAAUACCGCAUACGUCCUGAGGGAGAAAGUGGGGGAUCUUCGGACCUCACGCUAUCAGAUGAGCCUAGGUCGGAUUAGCUAGUUGGUGGGGUAAAGGCCUACCAAGGCGACGAUCCGUAACUGGUCUGAGAGGAUGAUCAGUCACACUGGAACUGAGACACGGUCCAGACUCCUACGGGAGGCAGCAGUGGGGAAUAUUGGACAAUGGGCGAAAGCCUGAUCCAGCCAUGCCGCGUGUGUGAAGAAGGUCUUCGGAUUGUAAAGCACUUUAAGUUGGGAGGAAGGGCAGUAAGUUAAUACCUUGCUGUUUUGACGUUACCAACAGAAUAAGCACCGGCUGACUUCGUG